UACGGGGGGGGGCAAGCGUUGUUCGGAAUUACUGGGCGUAAAGGGCUCGUAGGCGGCCAACUAAGUCAGACGUGAAAUCCCUCGGCUUAACCGGGGAACUGCGUCUGAUACUGGAUGGCUUGAGUUUGGGAGAGGUGAGUGGAACUCCGAGUGUAGAGGUGAAAUUCGUAGAUAUUCGGAAGAACACCAGUGGCGAAGGCGGCUCACUGGCCCGGUCUGACGCUGAGGUGCGAAAGCGUGGGGAGCAAACAGG
rnacentral:rRNA from 1 species